rnacentral:rRNA from 1 species
UACGAAGGGGGGCUAGCGUUGCUCGGAAUCACUGGGCGUAAAGCGCACGUAGGCGGCUUUCUAAGUCAGGGGUGAAAUCCUGGAGCUCAACUCCAGAACUGCCUUUGAUACUGGAGAGCUAGAGUCCGGAAGAGGUGAGUGGAACUGCGAGUGUAGAGGUGAAAUUCGUAGAUAUUCGGAAGAACACCAGUGGCGAAGGCGGCUCACUGGACCGUUGUUGACGCUGAGGUGCGAAAGCGUGGGGAGCAAACAGG